CAAAGGAGCAAUCCGCUGAAGGAUGGGCUCGCGUCCGAUUAGGUAGUUGGUGAGGUAACGGCCCACCAAGCCGACGAUCGGUAGCCGGACUGAGAGGUUGGACGGCCACAUUGGGACUGAGACACGGCCCAGACUCCUACGGGAGGCAGCAGUAAGGGAUAUUGGUCAAUGGGGGAAACCCUGAACCAGCAACGCCGCGUGAGGGAAGACGGUUUUCGGAUUGUAAACCUCUGUCCUCUGUGAAGAUGAUGACGGUAGCAGAGGAGGAAGCUCCGGCUAACUACGUGCCAGCAGCCGCGGUAAUACGUAGGGAGCGAGCGUUGUCCGGAUUUACUGGGUGUAAAGGGUGCGUAGGCGGCUGUGCAAGUCAGUAGUGAAAUCCAUGGGCUUAACCCAUGAACUGCUAUUGAAACUGCACAGCUUGAGUGAAGUAGUGGUAGGCGGAAUCCCCGGUGUAGCGGUGAAAUGCGUAGAGAUCGGGAGGAACACCAGUGGCGAAGGCGGCCUACUGGGCUUUAACUGACGCUGAGGCACGAAAGCGUGGGUAGCAAACAGGAUUAGAUACCCUGGUAGUCCACGCUGUAAGCGAUGAUUACUAGGUGUGGGGGGACUGAACCCUUCC
rnacentral:rRNA from 1 species